UACGUAGGGGGCGAGCGUUGUCCGGAAUCAUUGGGCGUAAAGCGCGUGUAGGCGGCCCGGUAAGUCCGCUGUGAAAGUCCAGGGCUCAACCCUGGGAUGCCGGUGGAUACUGUCGGGCUCGAGUCCGGAAGAGGCGAGUGGAAUUCCUGGUGUAGCGGUGAAAUGCGCAGAUAUCAGGAAGAACACCAAUGGCGAAAGCAGCUCUCUGGGACGGUACUGACGCUGAGACGCGAAAGCGUGGGGAGCGAACAGG
rnacentral:rRNA from 1 species